rnacentral:misc_RNA from 1 species
UCCGAGUUGACCCCGGCGGUCUCCUGUGAGUCCCCAUCACCCCGAAGGGCAUGCUGGCAACACAGAACAAGGGUUGCGCUCGUUGCGGGACUUAACCCAACAUCUCACGACACGAGCUGACGACAGCCAUGCACCACCUGUACACCGACCACAAGGGGGCACCCAUCUCUGGAUGUUUCCGGUGUAUGUCAAGCCUUGGUAAGGUUCUUCGCGUUGCGUCGAAUUAAUCCGCAUGCUCCGCCGCUUGUGCGGGCCCCCAUCAAUUCCUUUGAGUUUUAACCUUGCGACCGUACUCCCCAGGCGGCGAGCUUAACGCGUUAGCUUCGAUACUGCGUGCCAAAUUGCACCCAACAUCCAGUUCGCAUCGUUUAGGGCGUGGACUAC